UUGCUUCGGCAGCACAUAUACUAAAAUUGAAACAAUACAGAUAAGAUUAGCAUGGCCCCUGUGCAAGGAUGACAUGCAAAUUCAUAAAAUAAAAUAAAAAAAA
rnacentral:snRNA from 1 species